rnacentral:tRNA from 7 species
GGAGACGUGGCCGAGUGGCUGAAGGCAACGGUUUGCUAAAUCGUCAUACCCUGUAAGGGGUAUCGAGGGUUCGAAUCCCUCCGUCUCCGCCA